rnacentral:ribozyme from 13 species
UUCUCUCUUCUUUUUUCUUAUCUUCAUCUUUCUCUCCUCUCCUUCACUCCCUUCUUCUUGUCUUUUAUUUCUUGGAGAAGAAAAAGAGGAAUCGGAAUAGAAAGAAAGAGAAGAUGAGGGGGAAGAUCUAUCUGUUCUU